UGGGGGAAUUUUCCGCAAUGGGCGAAAGCCUGACGGAGCAAUACCGCGUGAGGGAGGAAGGCUCUUGGGUCGUAAACCUCUUUUCUCAGGGAAGAACACAAUGACGGUACCUGAGGAAUAAGCAUCGGCUAACUCCGUGCCAGCAGCCGCGGUAAUACGGAGGAUGCAAGCGUUAUCCGGAAUGAUUGGGCGUAAAGCGUCCGCAGGUGGCGAUGUAAGUCUGCUGUUAAAGAGUGAGGCUCAACCUCAUAAGAGCAGUGGAAACUACAUAGCUAGAGUACGUUCGGGGCAGAGGGAAUUCCUGGUGUAGCGGUGAAAUGCGUAGAGAUCAGGAAGAACACCAGUGGCGAAGGCGCUCUGCUAGGCCGUAACUGACACUGAGGGACGAAAGCUAGGGGAGCGAAAGGGAUUAGAUACCCCCAGUAGUCA
rnacentral:rRNA from 1 species